CAAAAAUGGCGGUGGUCUUGCGUAGCGAAGACUAUCAGUUUUAAAUGUGAAACAUAGAUGGCGAUGAAACUUGUAAUUUAGUCUGCUGGCUAAAAAAGAGAGUAAAAAAAAAGUCGAAUAUAAUGUCUGCAAUUGUUGUUCGCGUUUUCCGUAAUUUUCAGCAGUUUGAGUCAAUUAGACGCAUUUCUAAUUAUCCCGCAUCAUUUCGUAAAAAUGAAGAAAUUCAAAAUGUGAAAGGAGAAGACGAAUUCCGUUCGCUGGAUCUGAGUGCAAACAAGUCGUUGAAUAUGAGAUCUUACGGACGUAAAGUAUACAAGAGAGCAGCAGUUCACGUUUCAACAUAACGCGCUUUUGAUGAAGACUGGCCCUCUAGUUUGGCCCGUUGCCAGGUCUUUCCAUCCAGCUAGCGUCCUGCUGCCCUUGCAUCAGGGCUAGGUUGUUCCGUGUGCAACACCACCUGGUAAAUUUGCUAAUGCAGAGUUAAUGAAGAUCCCCAACUUUCUUCACUUGACAGUUGACACCACCCGCUUUUGAGAGACAUUGCCAAGCAUUGAAAAAGUUCUGCACAGAGUGCUGUAAGAGUUGGAUAUCAAAGAAAAGAUUGAAAAUUGUUUACCCAUCACAAUGCCGAGCCAGAAUUGUAACACUCCAGGUGAAAUUGAGCUCUUUGAAAUUGGACAACCAUGCCAAGGAUAAAUUCCUCUUUUUCCUGUACCGGCUGUAUGUUUUGUAAGAAACACUUCAGAACUAUUCAGGAUUAUCAGUCUGGUAAAAGUAUGAGCUUCUUUGUUGCUGCCCAACGUACACAACGUACACAUGGACUUGAUGCAGCCAGCCGAGGGCUUUAACUCUUGUUUAGUGUUUUAUGUUCGCGUUGUUGCUGUCUGAUGUGGUACGUUGUUGAAGCCUAUUCUGGUGAAAGAAUUUUCUACAUCAAGUUCAAUUGGCCGUUCCUUGGUGCUGGUGUUGUGUUACCGAAGUUGCAUCAUAUUUUGUUAAAUUGUCAUCGUGACUAUUGCAGUUUACCAUUUAUAAGUUCAGAAGCAACAAAAACAAAUAUGGGAUGUUCAUGUCAAACAAAUAAUAAACAUGUUUUUGGGGUUGGGAAAGGAAAGUGGUGGAUGUUGGAGGGGGGAUAUUUCAAGUUUGGAUAAAAAUGCAGUGAAUCUAUAACCCUACAAAUGUAUCCCUACCCAUUAAUCUCCAAAUCCCACAAACACAUACCUUCCAAUCCUUCAAACCGCGAAAACAUACACCUACCGACCAUUAAAUCUAUACCCUUAACCCUAUAAACCAAUAUUUAACCUUAACCAUGUAAUAUAAUAAAUAAAAUAAAUACACUUUAUGAACUAAUU